rnacentral:rRNA from 1 species
CGAAAGCCUGACGGAGCAAUACCGCGUGAGGGAGGAAGGUUUUUGGAUUGUAAACCUCUUUUAAUAAGGAAGAAGAAAGUGACGGUACUUAUUGAAUAAGCAUCGGCUAACUCCGUGCCAGCAGCCGCGGUAAUACGGAGGAGGCAAGCGUUAUCCGGAAUUAUUGGGCGUAAAGCGUCCGCAGGUGGCGAUUCAAGUCUGCUGUCAAAGCACGGGGCUUAACUCCGUAAAGGCAGUGGAAACUGAAUAGCUAGAGUGCCGUAGGGGUAGAGGGAAUUCCCGGUGUAGCGGUGAAAUGCGUAGAGAUCGGGAAGAACAUCGGUGGCGAAAGCGCUCUACUGGACGGCAACUGACACUCAGGGACGAAAGCUAGGGGAGCG